UCGACCCAAAUCUAGUAUUUCACCAGAGAGCCUAACGCUGCUGGCUUUCCAACUGUGUGGAAGACGAUACAGGCGUAACAAAGACAAGGAUGAAAUAAGUCCUGUGAUGGAGAGACAAGCAAAAUUCUACCUGACUUCACAGGAGGAAGAAGUGUGCUGUGCCAGGGGGAACAGGAGAAAGCUUCAUGGAAGAGGUCACAGGAAAUGGGUAGCUAUCCAGCUAAAUAGAUUUCAUGCUUGACUUCAGUGGAAUAGCUCAAAUGAUGAUCUGUUUGGGAGAGUAAAUUAAAGAGUUUCCAUCCGAGGUUGGUUGAAUCCACAGAUACGGAACCCACAGAUAUAGAG
rnacentral:lncRNA from 1 species